ACCACAUGACAGAGCACUCACCCUUGGGGAAUGCAGCCGCUUCUGGACCUUCGCCUCUGAAACCUGCCUUGAACAGCGCUAUUCCACUGACAACUCGAAACUGAGCCUCAGGCCUAUAUGUUGAAGGACCGGUUCCCGACCGCUUAACCGCCUUCUUGGCCCACGAUCCGCUUGGGUUUGUUACCCCUCACACUGCUCAUGUCUUCUGUAAGCCUUUGGCCAGCUCACAUGGGCGAGUACCAGGGACAUACCGGAGGGGAAUGCCUAGGCCGCUGGACUCGGCUGGGGCAGUGCGGCUGGAAGAAUGGAUCAGAGCAGAGUCUGGGGCUGGUGGGGAGGUAGAUCGAGGUAUACUACUGCUGCUCCGUACUACUGUUGUAGGCCUGCUGACUUCGUAGGAGUUAAUUAAUCACACUCAUGCAUAGGCUUUGCAGUGGUUUUCCUUUUAUGUAAUUAUCAAGUGGUAUUUAUGUGGUUCUUACACGUACAACUUGUUAGAUACUGAUGUAGAGCACACUACUGUUAAGCAUGUUUUACCUAUCAACCAUUAGACAUCUCAUGAUGUGUCUUGCACUAUAUACUAAACUAUAAUAUAAAACUCCUCAUUGACAUGACUCUCCUAAGCUUAUUGUAUGCUAUAUUAUUCACUAAAGCUUUGUGCAAUACCCUAGACACCUCAAGUUACAGCUAGUACCAUUCACCACUCUUUACUCUUUCAUUUAAAUAUUUCUACUAAGCUUGUAUUACAGUAUUUCACAAAAAUCAGUGCAGUAUAAUAGACAUCUCCUGUUGCUACUUGUACUAAUUAUUCAUGUUCA